rnacentral:rRNA from 1 species
CGUAGGUGAACCUGCGGAUCGCAUAUCAAUAAGCGGAAGAUGUCUCCAAAGGAGCGCUUGAUGCUGGCCUCGAUGAAGAACGCAGCAAAAUGCCAUAAGUAAUGUGAAUUGCAGAAUUCAGUGAAUCAUCGAAUCUUUGAACGCACAUUGCGCCCGCUGGUAUUCCGGCGGGCAUGCCUGUUCGAGCGUCAUUUCAACCCUCAAGCCCCCGGGUUUGGUGUUGGGGAUCGGCUCUGCCUCACGGCGGUGCCGCCCCCGAAAUACAUUGGCGGUCUCGCUGCAGCCUCCAUUGCGUAGUAGCUAACACCUCGCAACUGGAACGCGGCGCGGCCAUGCCGUAAAACCCCAACUUCUGAAUGUUGACCUCGGAUCAGGUAGGAAUACCCGCUGAACUUAAGCAUAUCAAUAG